GAUGAACGCUGGCGGCGUGCCUAAUACAUGCAAGUCGAGCGAACGGACGAGAAGCUUGCUUCUCUGAUGUUAGCGGCGGACGGGUGAGUAACACGUGGAUAACCUACCUAUAAGACUGGGAUAACUUCGGGAAACCGGAGCUAAUACCGGAUGAUAUUUUGAACCGCAUGGUUCAAAAGUGAAAGACGGUCUUGCUGUCACUUAUAGAUGGAUCCGCGCUGCAUUAGCUAGUUGGUAAGGUAACGGCUUACCAAGGCAACGAUGCAUAGCCGACCUGAGAGGGUGAUCGGCCACACUGGAACUGAGACACGGUCCAGACUCCUACGGGAGGCAGCAGUAGGGAAUCUUCCGCAAUGGGCGAAAGCCUUACGGAGCAACGCCGCGUGAGUGAUGAAGGUCUUCGGAUCGUAAAACUCUGUUAUUAGGGAAGAACAUAUGUGUAAGUAACUGUGCACAUCUUGACGGUACCUAAUCAGAAAGCCACGGCUAACUACGUG
rnacentral:rRNA from 1 species